rnacentral:lncRNA from 1 species
AUUUAAGGCAUUACUUGUGACUGUUUCACGUAGCAGAAGCAGUAAUUCUACGUAUUACUUUCAAGGUUUUAAACAGGAUUUUAAACCAAAGUGUUUUGUGUGUCUGUUUUGAAGUUUUCCUCUUCAAAAACUCGGAAACCGAGCGGUUUAAUUUUGAUGAGUUGUUGCAACACACUCGAACAUCUCAUGAAGUAACACGUCCUUUUUCAGAAUUAAGAAGGUAAUUUUUACUGCCAGGUAUGUCGGGUCAUCUGAUAGCUCUUGGUGGCACUUCAGAUGGACACUAAUGCACUUUCCUGGCUCACUUGAGCACCUGUGCCCAGCAGGUCCCUUAUAGCUGCCAGCCUGUGACCACUGCUAUCAUUGCCACUUCUCCUCAGGGACUGCUCUAUGAUAAAGAGCAAAGAAACAGAUGCUUGGGAUUUCUUCAGCUCAGACGGCAGCAGUGCGAGUAAAACCUCCAGCUGUCUUUCACUGAGACUCCAGCCUGCCUGAGUGUGGCCAGCUAAGAAGGUAUUUAAGUUUUUGCUUAAUUCACCGGCAUCUGGCUGAGGAUCCAGUAGACCUGAAGGCCGAGGGUGAGCCUCUUCACUACAGAGAAGAAACAUGCACUGGGUUCCUUCUGCCAACCAGAAACUGAGCCUAUUAUCAGCACUGUGCUGCUGUCCAUCUUGCUUCUGCUCACCAGCCUUCAGCAUGGAAUCGUAGAACCACAGAACAUCCUGAGCUGGAAGGGAUGCAAAAGGACCAUCGAGUCCAACACCUGGCUCCAGACAGGACCACCUCAAAUCCAG